UGGGGAAUAUUGCACAAUGGGCGAAAGCCUGAUGCAGCAACGCCGCGUGAGUGAUGAAGGCCUUCGGGUUGUAAAGCUCUGUCUUUUGGGACGAUAAUGACGGUACCAAAGGAGGAAGCCACGGCUAACUACGUGCCAGCAGCCGCGGUAAUACGUAGGUGGCAAGCGUUGUCCGGAUUUACUGGGCGUAAAGGAUGCGUAGGCGGAUUUUUAAGUGAGAUGUGAAAACCCUAAGCUUAACUUGGGGACUGCAUUUCAUACUGGAAAUCUAGAGUGCGGGAGAGGAGAAUGGAAUUCCUAGUGUAGCGGUGAAAUGCGUAGAGAUUAGGAAGAACACCAGUGGCGAAGGCGAUUCUCUGGACCGUAACUGACGCUGAGGCAUGAAAAGCGUGGGUAGCAAACAGGAUUAGAUACCCUGGUAGUCCACGCCGUAAACGAUGAGUACUAGGUGUAGGAGGUAUCGACCCCUUCUGUGCCGCAGUUAACACAAUAAGUACUCCGCCUGGGAAGUACGAUCGCAAGAUUAAAACUCAAAUGAAUUGACGGGGUC
rnacentral:rRNA from 1 species